AAACUAUGAUGAGAGCACCUCUUAAGAAGUUUUUCAAAUCGUUCUUACAUUUCAAAUAAAGAUUCUAACUCAUAUUGUUGGAAGCUGAAUAUUUCAACCAUAAGUUU